rnacentral:rRNA from 1 species
GACGAACGCUGGCGGCGUGCUUAACACAUGCAAGUCGAACGGAAAGGCCCUGCUUUUGUGGGGUGCUCGAGUGGCGAACGGGUGAGUAACACGUGAGUAACCUGCCCUUGACUUUGGGAUAACUUCAGGAAACUGGGGCUAAUACCGGAUAGGAGCUCCUGCUGCAUGGUGGGGGUUGGAAAGUUUCGGCGGUUGGGGAUGGACUCGCGGCUUAUCAGCUUGUUGGUGGGGUAGUGGCUUACCAAGGCUUUGACGGGUAGCCGGCCUGAGAGGGUGACCGGAGCAGGGGGGAGCUGGGAUACGGACCAGGCUCAUGGGGGAGGGGGGAGGGGAGAAGGUGGGAAGAGGGACGCGGGGCUGAGGAGGGAACGGGGGUGGUGGGGUGAUGGGGGUGGGGGUGUACACCGUUUGCGCGUGUGACGAGGGUGGAGCGGGGGUAAGGGGUAAAGAAGCACCGGAUAACGACGAGAGAGCGGCGGCGAGAAGAAGGGGAAAAGCACUCGUCUGAAC